AUCACAUUAGUUGAAGAUGAGAACAAAUCAAACCAAAAAGGAAAAUUUUCAUUCCUUCAUGAUUCACAUUCAAGUCAUAAUUUCAUUCCAGAAUUAAAAAAACAAUCAGAUUUCUAAACUCAAUCUUGAUGUUAUAUAAAUGAGGGGACACGCAAAAACAAGAGGGGGAGAACCAAAAACUGAGAACAAAAAAUCAACAGAGAAAGAAAACGCAGUAGCAGUUUGUUGCUGCGCCACAUUCUUCCAUACCAACAUUCAUCAAUCAUAAUCAUCACUAUAAAUCAAACCAUCACAAAAAAAAGAGAACAAAAAAAAACACAAAAGAUUUGAGGCAGAAAAUUAGAGGAGACCAAACCAAAAAACCACAGUACAAGAACGGCAGCA
rnacentral:lncRNA from 1 species